rnacentral:tRNA from 2 species
GCGGGAAUAGCUCAUUUGGUAGAGCACGACCUUGCCAAGGUCGGGGUCGCGAGUUCGAGUCUCGUUUCCCGCUCCA